AGUGAACGCUGGCGGUAGGCCUAACACAUGCAAGUCGAACGGCAGCACAGUAAGAGCUUGCUCUUACGGGUGGCGAGUGGCGGACGGGUGAGGAAUACAUCGGAAUCUACUUUUUCGUGGGGGAUAACGUAGGGAAACUUACGCUAAUACCGCAUACGACCUACGGGUGAAAGCAGGGGAUCUUCGGACCUUGCGCGAUUGAAUGAGCCGAUGUCGGAUUAGCUAGUUGGCGGGGUAAAGGCCCACCAAGGCGACGAUCCGUAGCUGGUCUGAGAGGAUGACCAGCCACACUGGAACUGAGACACAGUCCAGACUCCUACGGGAGGCAGCAGUGGGGAAUAUUGGACAAUGGGCGCAAGCCUGAUCCAGCCAUACCGCGUGGGUGAAGAAGGCCUUCGGGUUGUAAAGCCCUUUUGUUGGGAAAGAAAAGCAGCAGGUUAAUACCCCGCUGUUCUGACGGUACCCAAAGAAUAAGCACCGGCUAACUUCGUG
rnacentral:rRNA from 1 species